UUAUGGCCAUAAACUUAAAGACUCGACUUCUUCAAUCUCAUAGGACUACUCCCUUCUGCUAGGAUCGAUAGAUCUCAUCUUGAUGCACAUCCUAUUUCUAUAAUAGACCAAUUAUCGUCAACAUCCACUACGAGGGCUCAUUGAGACUCAUGUUAAUGUAUCAGUCAAACUCCAGCAGCUUUACUGCGAGGAGUAGUGCCAUCUC
rnacentral:lncRNA from 1 species